rnacentral:lncRNA from 1 species
CCAUAAAAUUCAAAAUUCCGGAUAUUUUAACUUUCUCCACAAGAUACCGAUCCAGAUCUUCAACAACGAUCACCGAUCGUCUCGUUGUUUGCAACAGAAGCACUUUCAGAUCUGAAUCGUCUGAAACUUUCGACAGGUCGACGUCGUAGAUAUCGUAGCGUAAAAACUUCGCCAUUCCGGCGAUGAAGCUCGAUUUUCCGAUCCGAAUCGAUCACCGACGUAUCGAUCGUCGCCGGAUGACUGAACGGAACGGUUAUCCACCGGCGGUUUUCCGGUGAACUCACGGCGUUGAUGUGCAGCUGGAUUUGUUGCGUUUUCUGCUCGGUGACGUUGUGAAUGUGUUGAAGAUACGAAGAGAGGAUUCUUCGUUUCUCUUUACGUCUGAUUUUCAACAGUAAACAAUCGGUUUCGAACGUCCAGAAGAUUCGCGAACCGAGGAGUUUGAUGAUGAUGAUGAUGAUGAUGCACGGAAUCUAGUAGGAUGCCUAGAAACGCACCUUAAUCUUUAAUACUUGUUGUAUUUAUU